CGGCCGCAUCACGCUGAAACAACGGUUCCUGUACGAUCACCGAAAUUAAGCAACGUCGAUUCUGAUCAGUACCUAGAUGGGUGACCACUUGGGAAUACCCGGUGCUGCAAG